rnacentral:lncRNA from 1 species
AAUGCGCCGUGCCUCAGUUUCCCCAUGGGGCUCCUUUGGGCAUGGGGUCUGCGCCCCGUGGGGGUCCCCAAGGUGCCGGCUGCGGGGAGGAGGAGGAGGAGGAGCAGGAGGAAGCCGGCGUGGAUGCAGGACACGAGGAUGGGGGGGACGUUUAUUUCGGGGGGCCAGCUCGGGGGACGGGGGGGGGGGCGCCGCGGGGGGGGGGGUCCAGCAGCAGAGCCCGGUCCGGGGGCACUGCCCCAGCGCCCCUCCAGCACCGCGGGACUGGGAGCACUGGGGCCGGGCAGCAGCCCCAGCUCCCAGGUGCUCGAAGCCACCGGAAUGGGGGGGUCCCACCCCAAUGGGGGGGCCCCCCCUCCGAAGCCCCCCUUCCGGAGAGGCCCCUUUUUGGGGCCCCCCCCCCAAGGGGGGGGCUCAGGAGCAGCUGCUUCUCCGCCGGCGCAGCAGCGUGGCGGGGUGGCUGCCCUCGUCCUCCUGCUCGCUCUCGCAGCCGCGCUGGGGGGGCACAGAGGGGCUGGAGGGCACAGGGAGGACCCCCGGGCACCCCAUGCAGGGGGCACCCCAUUGCACGACCCCCCCCCCAAAUACCCAUUGCCCCCCUCCCCAGCCUCUCACCAGCUCCUCAUCCUCCGUGCGCGGGCCGCAGAGCAGCCGCAUGCGGCACAGCCGGUUGCAGGCGGACACCAUGUUGUAGGAGAGCUGGGGAGGGGGGGGCAGCAAGGUGGGGGUCCGGGGGGGGGCUCAUCCCCUCCUCUCCCACCCCCAGACAGCAGCGUUACGGUGCCGACCCCAACACAGCCCCCUCCCCAAAUGCGCCCACCCAGGAGCGGAGCGCGGCGCCCUGAGCACCCUGGGGUGGUGGCACCAAGCACCGCGGUGUGUCCCCCCGCCCCGGCACCACGGUGCCCCCCCCCCACGGCACCACGGUGUCCCCCCGUGUCCCCCCCCCUUUUUCCUUUCACCUUCCACUUCCUCCGGGCGUUGAACUUGCGGAAGUUUUUCAUGUUGAUGGAGGAGCGGCUCCGCUUCGCCGCCUGCUUCCUGCUCAGGGGCUGCGGGGGGCGAAGCCGGGCAUCGUCCCCACGCCCCCUCCCCUGGUACACGGUGCCCGGGGAUGGGGGGGGGACCCGGGGGGGACCCAGCCCCAGCCCUGCUCCCCCCCCAGCUCCCUCUCACCUUGAUCCAGGGGUGGACGAGGCACUCGGACGCCGUCAUGCGCUCCCUGAAACACGAGGGGAUGGGGCGCUGGGGACGGGGGGCACCCUGGGGACGGGGACGGGGACAGGAACGGGGUCGGGGACAGGGACGGGGAC